CAACAACAACAAUGAUAACAAUUUACGUAUUUGAUUAAUUAGAUCACAGAGUUUCACAAAAAUUGCGUUCAACAAGUAAAAUUUUUCCAAACUUUUGAGGAAAUAGAUGAAUUUAUAUGCAACCGCAAAAACACGAUGGAAUAUGGAAAAUAUAUAAAAUGUUUUCGUGCAGCUAUGACUGCUCUCAAUCAAGACAGUCCUUCCACUUUUUCUAAAACACUUUUUAUUCUUUUCUUUUAGAAAUGUUUAACGCUAGUGGAGAACCUCGAACAUAAAGAUAACCAUCAAAUGUAUCCAAAAUUUUUAUUUAGGCCUAUAAAUUAAAUUAGAGAAGAUCUAGAUGACUUGUAAUUACAUUUAACAUUAUCAUCCAAUCAUUGUUUAAUCUUCGAAACAUUAAAUCGCGUCAUUAAUGUAACUAUUUAGUUAUUAUUGUCUGUUAAGUGCUAUUACCA